rnacentral:rRNA from 1 species
UGACCUCGGAUCAGGUAGGAAUACCCGCUGAACUUAAGCAUAUCAUAGCCGGGAAAGAAAAACAUUAUCGAGUUACCGCUCUUAUAACCCUUUGUGAACAUACCCCAAACGUUGCCCGGCGGGCAGCCGGAGCCCAGCUCCGUGCGGGAGCCCUCUCUGCGCGCCCACCGCCGGCGGACACCAAACUCUAUGUAAACGACCUCUCUCUGAGAUGGCACAAGACAAAUAAUCAAAACUUUUUAACAACGACUAUUGGGUUCUGCAUCGAUAAUAACGCAGCGGAUGCGGUGAGUUAAUGUGAAUUGCUAGAAAUCAUGAAAUCACCAACCUUGGAACGCCAUAGAGCCGCGCACUGGCGGGAUGACUGUUCGCGGUCUAUCCUCAGCACGCUGGCGUUGAGCUACUGCUUCGUAAGCCAAUACA